GUAGGUGGCAAGCGUUGUCCGGAAUUAUUGGGCGUAAAGCGCGCGCAGGCGGUUCUUUAAGUCUGAUGUGAAAGCCCACGGCUCAACCGUGGAGGGUCAUUGGAAACUGGAGAACUUGAGUACAGAAGAGGAAAGCGGAAUUCCACGUGUAGCGGUGAAAUGCGUAGAGCUGUGGAGGAACACCAGUGGCGAAGGCGGCUUUCUGGUCUGUAACUGACGCUGAGGCGCGAAAGCGUGGGUAGCAAACAGGAUUAGAUACCCUGGUAGUCCACGCCGUAAACGAUGAGUGCUAAGUGUUAGGGGGGUUUCCGCCCCCCUUAGUGCUGCAGCUAACGCAUUAAGCACUCCGCCUGGGAGUACGGCCGCAAGGCUG
rnacentral:rRNA from 1 species